rnacentral:rRNA from 1 species
GGGUUGUGAGGUUAAGCGACUAAGCGUACACGGUGGAUGCCCUGGCAGUCAGAGGCGAUGAAGGACGUGCUAAUCUGCGAUAAGCGUCGGUAAGGUGAUAUGAACCGUUAUAACCGGCGAUUUCCGAAUGGGGAAACCCAGUGUGAUUCGUCACACUAUCAUUAACUGAAUCCAUAGGUUAAUGAGGCGAACCGGGGGAACUGAAACAUCUAAGUACCCCGAGGAAAAGAAAUCAACCGAGAUUCCCCCAGUAGCGGCGAGCGAACGGGGAGCAGCCCAGAGCCUGAAUCAGUGUGUGUGUUAGUGGAAGCGUCUGGAAAGGCGCGCGAUACAGGGUGACAGCCCCGUACACAAAAAUGCACAUACUGUGAGCUCGAUGAGUAGGGCGGGACACGUGGUAUCCUGUCUGAAUAUGGGGGGACCAUCCUCCAAGGCUAAAUACUCCUGACUGACCGAUAGUGAACCAGUACCGUGAGGGAAAGGCGAAAAGAACCCCGGCGAGGGGAGUGAAAAAGAACCUGAAACCGUGUACGUACAAGCAGUGGGAGCACGCUUAGGCGUGUGACUGCGUACCUUUUGUAUAAUGGGUCAGCGACUUAUAUUCUGUAGCAAGGUUAACCGAAUAGGGGAGCCGAAGGGAAACCGAGUCUUAACUGGGCGUUAAGUUGCAGGGUAUAGACCCGAAACCCGGUGAUCUAGCCAUGGGCAGGUUGAAGGUUGGGUAACACUAACUGGAGGACCGAACCGACUAAUGUUGAAAAAUUAGCGGAUGACUUGUGGCUGGGGGUGAAAGGCCAAUCAAACCGGGAGAUAGCUGGUUCUCCCCGAAAGCUAUUUAGGUAGCGCCUCGUGAAUUCAUCUCCGGGGGUAGAGCACUGUUUCGGCAAGGGGGUCAUCCCGACUUACCAACCCGAUGCAAACUGCGAAUACCGGAGAAUGUUAUCACGGGAGACACACGGCGGGUGCUAACGUCCGUCGUGAAGAGGGAAACAACCCAGACCGCCAGCUAAGGUCCCAAAGUCAUGGUUAAGUGGGAAACGAUGUGGGAAGGCCCAGACAGCCAGGAUGUUGGCUUAGAAGCAGCCAUCAUUUAAAGAAAGCGUAAUAGCUCACUGGUCGAGUCGGCCUGCGCGGAAGAUGUAACGGGGCUAAACCAUGCACCGAAGCUGCGGCAGCGACACUGUGUGUUGUUGGGUAGGGGAGCGUUCUGUAAGCCUGCGAAGGUGUGCUGUGAGGCAUGCUGGAGGUAUCAGAAGUGCGAAUGCUGACAUAAGUAACGAUAAAGCGGGUGAAAAGCCCGCUCGCCGGAAGACCAAGGGUUCCUGUCCAACGUUAAUCGGGGCAGGGUGAGUCGACCCCUAAGGCGAGGCCGAAAGGCGUAGUCGAUGGGAAACAGGUUAAUAUUCCUGUACUUGGUGUUACUGCGAAGGGGGGACGGAGAAGGCUAUGUUGGCCGGGCGACGGUUGUCCCGGUUUAAGCGUGUAGGCUGGUUUUCCAGGCAAAUCCGGAAAACUAAGGCUGAGGCGUGAUGACGAGGCACUACGGUGCUGAAGCAACAAAUGCCCUGCUUCCAGGAAAAGCCUCUAAGCAUCAGGUAACAUCAAAUCGUACCCCAAACCGACACAGGUGGUCAGGUAGAGAAUACCAAGGCGCUUGAGAGAACUCGGGUGAAGGAACUAGGCAAAAUGGUGCCGUAACUUCGGGAGAAGGCACGCUGAUAUGUAGGUGAAGUCCCUCGCGGAUGGAGCUGAAAUCAGUCGAAGAUACCAGCUGGCUGCAACUGUUUAUUAAAAACACAGCACUGUGCAAACACGAAAGUGGACGUAUACGGUGUGACGCCUGCCCGGUGCCGGAAGGUUAAUUGAUGGGGUCAGCGCAAGCGAAGCUCUUGAUCGAAGCCCCGGUAAACGGCGGCCGUAACUAUAACGGUCCUAAGGUAGCGAAAUUCCUUGUCGGGUAAGUUCCGACCUGCACGAAUGGCGUAAUGAUGGCCAGGCUGUCUCCACCCGAGACUCAGUGAAAUUGAACUCGCUGUGAAGAUGCAGUGUACCCGCGGCAAGACGGAAAGACCCCGUGAACCUUUACUAUAGCUUGACACUGAACAUUGAGCCUUGAUGUGUAGGAUAGGUGGGAGGCUUUGAAGUGUGGACGCCAGUCUGCAUGGAGCCG